rnacentral:rRNA from 1 species
UACGGAGGAUUCAAGCGUUAUCCGGAUUUAUUGGGUUUAAAGGGUGCGUAGGCGGUCCGUUAAGUCAGCGGUAAAAUUGCGGGGCUCAACCCCGACAAGCCGUUGAAAUUGGCUUGCUAGAGUGGGCGAGAAGUAUGCGGAAUGCGUGGUGUAGCGGUGAAAUGCAUAGAUAUCACGCAGAACUCCGAUUGCGAAGGCAGCAUACCGGCGCCCAACUGACGCUCAGGCACGAAAGCGUGGGUAUCGAACAGG